UGUAUAUUUAAGCUUUGCGGUGCUUGAAGUUCUGGCAUUUUGCAGUACGUCAGAAUGGAAGGCAUAAUAGGGAAGUCGGUGCAAGUCCGACGCGGUCCCGCCACUGUAAAGAGAAGAACCUUGCCGGUGCUAUGCCCACUGUUUCGCCUGUGAAACGGGAAGGGUGGACAAGGUUUGCUUACUCUAAGCCAGGAGACCUGCCGUGAAGAGCAACACUGU
rnacentral:ncRNA from 1 species